rnacentral:rRNA from 1 species
GAUGAACGCUGGCGGCGUGCCUAAUACAUGCAAGUCGAGCGAACAGAUGAGGAGCUUGCUCCUCUGACGUUAGCGGCGGACGGGUGAGUAACACGUGGAUAACCUACCUAUAAGACUGGGAUAACUUCGGGAAACCGGAGCUAAUACCGGAUAAUAUAUUGAACCGCAUGGUUCAAUAGUGAAAGACGGUUUUGCUGUCACUUAUAGAUGGAUCCGCGCCGCAUUAGCUAGUUGGUAAGGUAACGGCUUACCAAGGCAACGAUGCGUAGCCGACCUGAGAGGGUGAUCGGCCACACUGGAACUGGGACACGGUCCAGACUCCUACGGGAGGCAGCAGUAGGGAAUCUUCCGCAAUGGGCGAAAGCCUGACGGAACAACGCCGCGUGAGUGAUGAAGGUCUUCGGAUCGUAAAACUCUGUUAUUAGGGAAGAACAAAUGUGUAAGUAACUAUGCACGUCUUGACGGUACCUAAUCAGAAAGCCACGGCUAACUACGUG